UACGUAGGGUGCGAGCGUUAAUCGGAAUUACUGGGCGUAAAGCGUGCGUAGGCGGCUAUGUAAGACAGAUGUGAAAUCCCUGGGCUUAACCUAGGAACUGCAUUUGUGACUGCAUAGCUAGAGUGUGGUAGAGGGAGAUGGAAUUCCGCAUGUAGCAGUGAAAUGCGUAGAUAUGCGGAGGAACACCAAUGGCGAAGGCAAUCUCCUGGACCUGCACUGACGCUCAUGCACGAAAGCGUGGGGAGCAAACAGG
rnacentral:rRNA from 1 species